AUUCCGGAGCGCGCUCAGGGUAUCGUUUGCCGUUGCCUUGGCUGGAGCGUCAGGGUGGCAGGGUUGCUGCUAAACGUUCAGGGAGAAGUUGUUUUGCAAGGAGAAAUUAGAUCCUGUUGGAAUCUGGAGAAUGAGACGCCUUGGUUCUGCUUUGCACCGUGCGGUGGCUCCAGAAAUCUGUACUGUGCAUGAAACCGAAAAGGAAGCCUGCUGCUUAUUGAAGAGCAGCAAUGGAGGUGAUGAACAUGAUGGAGCAGCCAAUCAAGGUGACAGAAUGGCAGCAGACCUACACCUACGACUCGGGCAUACACUCUGGGGUGAACACCCAGGUGCCGUCAGUCAGCAGCAAAUGCAUUGGGGAUGAUGAGGACCUCUACGCCAAGCAGUACACCAUCAAGACAACCACCUACAGAGAGGCGGGGGGCCAGGGCCUGGGCUCAGCAGCAGCAGCAGACAUGGAGUCUCAGCUGGCCAUGACACGGGCCCAGCGUGUCCGGGCUGCCAUGUACCCUGAGACCGUGGAGGACCGGUCCCUGCUUAUGACCACUCACAUUGAGGGCCAGCAGACCAACGUGCAGAGGCUGGCCGAGCCGUCGCAGAUGCUGAAAUCUGCCAUCGUGCACCUGAUCAACUACCAGGACGAUGCAGAGCUGGCCACGCGGGCCAUCCCAGAGCUCACCAAGCUGCUGAAUGAUGAGGACCCGGUUGUGGUCAGCAAAGCGGCCAUGAUAGUGAACCAGCUGUCCAAGAAGGAGGCGUCGCGCCGUGCCCUGAUGCAGUCCCCACAGAUUGUGGCAGCGGUGGUGCGUGCCAUGCAAAACACCAGCGACUUGGACACGGCCCGCUGCACCACCAGCAUCCUGCACAACCUCUCGCACCACCGUGAGGGGCUGCUGGCCAUCUUCAAAUCUGGAGGCAUCCCAGCUCUCGUGCGGAUGCUCAGCUCCCCGGUCGAGUCGGUCUUGUUCUACGCAAUCACCACCCUGCACAACCUGCUGCUGUACCAGGAAGGCGCCAAGAUGGCGGUGCGCCUGGCCGACGGCCUCCAGAAGAUGGUUCCCCUGCUGAACAAGAACAACCCGAAAUUCCUCGCCAUCACCACUGACUGCCUUCAGCUCCUAGCCUACGGGAACCAGGAGAGCAAGCUGAUUAUUUUGGCCAAUGGGGGACCCCAAGCCCUGGUGCAGAUCAUGCGCAGCUACACCUAUGAGAAGCUGCUCUGGACCACCAGCCGGGUGCUCAAGGUUCUGUCUGUGUGUCCCAGCAACAAGCCUGCUAUCGUGGAGGCCGGUGGCAUGCAGGCUCUGGGGAAACAUCUGACCAGCUCCAGCCCAAGGCUCGUACAGAACUGCCUGUGGACCUUGAGGAACCUCUCUGAUGUGGCCACCAAGCAGGAGGGUCUGGAUGGCGUCCUCAAGAUCCUGGUCAACCAGCUGAGCUCGGACGACGUGAACGUGUUGACCUGUGCCACUGGCACCCUCUCCAACCUGACCUGCAACAACAGCAAAAACAAGACCCUGGUCACGCAGUCAAAUGGGGUGGAAGCCCUGAUCCACACCAUCCUGAGGGCGGGCGACAAGGAGGACAUCACUGAGCCGGCUGUCUGCGCCCUGCGGCACCUCACCAGCCGGCACCCGGAGGCAGAGAUGGCCCAGAACUCAGUGCGGCUCAACUACGGCAUCCCAGCAAUCGUGAAGCUCCUCAACCAGCCCAACCAGUGGCCGCUGGUCAAGGCCACUAUCGGUCUGAUCCGCAACCUGGCCCUGUGCCCGGCUAACCACGCCCCGCUGCAGGAGGCUGCCGUGAUCCCUCGCCUGGUCCAGCUGCUGGUGAAGGCUCACCAAGAUGCCCAGCGCCAUGUGGCAGCUGGCACGCAGCAGCCAUACACAGAUGGAGUGAAGAUGGAGGAGAUAGUGGAAGGGUGCACAGGAGCCCUGCAUAUUCUGGCCCGGGACCCAAUGAACCGCAUGGAGAUCUUCCGACUCAACACGAUUCCUCUCUUCGUGCAGCUGCUCUACUCCCCGGUGGAGAACAUCCAGCGGGUGGCAGCUGGAGUGCUGUGCGAGCUGGCCCAGGACAAGGAAGCUGCUGACACGAUUGAUGCUGAGGGGGCCUCUGCUCCACUGAUGGAGCUGCUGCAUUCCAGGAACGAAGGCACAGGUGAGCCGCGCCAGCUGGAGCCACGCACUUGGAGUUGGGAUUCCCAGCGGGGUUCGCACCAAGCUGCUCAGUCGGCACGUUGGGCAGUCCCUGGUUCUGUCCCGUUCUCAUCGGCUUCUUCUGUUCUGCUGCCUCAGGGCUGCCGCCAUCUGGAGCGUGGGUGCUGUAGCAUGCCCCCACCCAGACGCCCUAGCCAGCUGACAGGGUUUGACUGUCUCCUACACUCAGCACCCGCUCUGUGGCCCCCUCUGCCAUGCACAGGGCUGCGACGCCAGAAAACUCUUACAGGAAGCGCCCUCAUUCCCUCAACAUUCCUUCUCACACUAGGCUCCAGCCCCAGGGUUUGGGGGGCGGGGAGCACUUAGCAGGAGGGUGACGGCGCCUAGGCCCUGUUCCAUGAAACGGCACUGCGGCCGCUGGGGCUUGGAGGCUUUCAUGACGGUGCCGGCAGAGCCACUGUGGCAGUCCUGUGGCAACGGGAAACGUAAUUAAAUGCAGAGCUGUCCGCUGAAGUGGAAAUCAUUCAGCCAUCUGUGUGCAGAGGAGUGUGGCUCCCUCUGCCAUCUGCUGGCAUUUAGAGGUUUCCUCUUCCAACAUUCCCCUCUCUCUGUCCAGCCACCUACGCCGCAGCCGUGCUGUUCCGCAUCUCUGAGGACAAAAACCCCGACUACAGGAAACGCGUCUCCGUCGAGCUCACCAACUCCCUCUUCAAACAUGACCCUGCUGCGUGGGAAGCAGUAAGUGCCCAUCUGUUUGGGGCUGGGUUGGGGGGGCGGCUCUUCCUUUUAGAACUGUUCAGGGCCAGCUCGUGGUCCUUGGUAGCGAUGCAGGAGCUCUCCCCUCCCCCCCGAGCUGAGUGCUCUAUUUGGGCACUAACGUCUUCCAUGAGGUUGUUCUCCCACUGCCCUGCCCACGAAUGGGGUUUGUACCCAGGGCGUCUGGGAGGCCGCUCGACUCCGCGGGUCCCUCCGUGGCUCAGAGGGCUCGGGAUUCUAGUGGAACUGGGGCCGGGAAGAACAUGAGCCACAUCUUCCACUGAGCAUGUGACCAUCUGCAAUGGGGAGGAUGGGGGCAGGGGCAAGGCACAGGGGUGCCUGUUUCUAGGUGGGAGGGGUUAGUAAAUGGAGGGCUUAAUGCUUGUAUUGGGGGACUUGGGGCUGGAACAUCUAAGCUCCAUUUAGAAACUGGUCCCACACGAUCUGGCCACAACCCUUGAGUCUCCCUGCACUGGGGCUGGUGGGCAAAGGGGGCACCAUGGGAGCUGGGUUCCCUGUUGCUGCAGGCAUCUUUCAUUGGCACAGAAUCCUGGCCACAAGUGGCCUCCUGGGGCUGCAAUCAGCCUCUGAGCUGGGCAGAUAGGGAUGCUCAUGCAGCAUCCCCAGGUAGCACGAGCUCCCCCCAGGAGCUGUGAUUCCUCCAAUAAAACAGCUCAGCACGGGCAGGGCGCUGGCCAGAGACUGCAGCGAAGUUGCUGCCAUGGCUGCCCCAGCACCAUAGGGUCAUGUUACCCUCUUCCCAAAAGCCAUUGCUGCCAGGAAAAGCUAAUUCUCCCCACAUGAGUGUUCCAAGCACCAUGCAAAGGCUGACCCCGAACAGCCCUUGUGUCUCUGCACCCUCGUGUUACCUGUGUGUGUCUCUUCCCUAGGCGCAGAGCAUGAUCCCGAUCAACGAGCCAUACCCCGAGGGUAAGUGCUGGGCACAUGCUUAGUGCAGAAACCACCAAGCUCAAACAGUGCAGCUGAGCUGGGGGCCCUGCUGGACCACUUGGCCGGAAGCGCCCGUGAGGUGGCUGCAGCCUUCUGCCUCCACUCCCCAGCGUGGCAUGGCUUGGGCUCCAUGCACGUCUGGCUGGCCAGGUUCUAGUGUCCGGGCACAGGAGAACUAAACACUGGGCUACAAACAAACGCCAGGCCCCAGGUGACUGGCAGCAUGGCAUUGCCAUACUCUGUACAUUGAGACGAAUUUCUCUGCCCCCUCCUGGGAGCCCCAGCCUCACUCAAGUUUGCUGGGCCAUCCUGCUUCCAGUUCAAGUCCUGUCAGCAUCCACUCUCCUCUGGAAUGCCGCGCUGCAGGAGAGUGCGCUGCUGCCUGUAGGCGAAGUGUGUGGCCGGGAGCUUUGCUGUCACCCCGGCCAAGGCCAGCUGGGGCUUUUAUUCCUCCUGCGUCAGGACACGAGCCAGCCUCCAAUGGGGGCAGGAAGAAACUUUCCCUUAUUCCAUGUCUGGUCAUGUUGGGGUCUCUUGCAGUAUUUGGUGCUGGCACCUAUCAGGCCUUGGGCUUGAUGGACCCCAGCUCUGAUGCAGCCUCGGUGGCCGGGAGGGCUUGGAUGGGAGCUGGGGUGUCCCCACCUGAGCACGGAGCUGGUGCUAAUUCUCCACUCAGUGGCUGGCGUGCGGGCUAACGGCUGCCCUCUCCCAUGGUGGCUAGAUAUGGAUGCUGGGUAUCGUAUGUAUCCGGGUGAUGAUCCCUUGGACAUGAACAUGGAUAUGGACGGAGACUACCCCAUGGACACCUACAGCGAUGGCGUCCGAGGGCACUACCCCGAACACAUGCUCGCCUAACCUGCUCCUCAGGCACUGUACAAGGUGUGUUGUCUGGCCAGAAGAGGGUGGCUCCAGAGAUGAGCACUUGCAAGAGGGACUUGGGAGACAGAAGUGCCUGAGACCAACUUUUUCCAUUCCCACCAGAGGCUUUAUUUUUAGAUUUGUUUUGUUUUUAUUUCUUUUUUGCUGUGGGUCUGUGAAAAAGGCCCUUUCCUCCUGAGAUUGCUUCAAACACCCUCCAGCCAAGCCAAGAUACUGUUUCUGAAGCUUUAAAACAUGCGACUUCCGCAUCAUUAUCAAACUCCAUUGACAUGACAGUAAUCGUCUUUUCUAUAAAUAUAUAUUUCUUUUGUUGUUUAAUAUGGUGCAAAUGGCUUUUGCUGUCUGAUUUUAAGUUCAUGCUUUUUAACUUCCCAUUUCCUGUUCUGUUUAGUGUUUAACAAAAAUAAUCUAACAUUUUAAAAUAAGCCUUUUGCUUUCUACAAACUUUAAAUUAAAAAUAGCAAAUCCAGUGAGUUUGCAGAAAACAAAGGGUGCUGUGUUUUCCUGGGAUCUUUGUUCUAGCCCAAGGGAUGUCAACGACUUUAUUCCUUCCGAUCAGAUGUGCGUGAACAGAAUUUCAGUGCAACUGUCCUUACUAUAGAGGAGUGACUCUAACCACUAGGAACUGUCCUUGUAUCAAUCUACUAUUGCACAAUUUAACCUGUCUCCUUUCUGGUGAGUGGUGUUUCCUUCCCCUCUUCUCUUCUCUUCAUGCAUUUUUAAAGCGACUCUAGAUCUGAUGGCUUACUGCUUCUGUUGGAAAGGGAUCGAUGUUCUUGGAAUGUGGUUCAGGAACUGAGGAUUUUAUUAUUUCUGUAAGUUUUUUGUAUAGACCAAAGCAAAGAAUAAAACACCCUAACCCCA